rnacentral:tRNA from 1 species
UCCCAUCUGGUGUAGCGGUAACAUGCGAGACUUUCAAGCCUAUACUGAAGCGAGUUCUCUCGAGCCCGGAGUUCGACUCUCCGGAUGGGAA